rnacentral:rRNA from 1 species
ACGAACGCUGGCGGCGUGCUUAACACAUGCAAGUCGAACGGAAAGGCCCUUCGGGGUACUCGAGUGGCGAACGGGUGAGUAACACGUGGGUGAUCUGCCCUGCACUUUGGGAUAAGCCUGGGAAACUGGGUCUAAUACCGAAUAGGACCACGCGCUUCAUGGUGUGUGGUGGAGAGCUUUUGCGGUGUGGGAUGGGCCCGCGGCCUAUCAGCUUGUUGGUGGGGUAAUGGCCUACCAAGGCGACGACGGGUAGCCGGCCUGAGAGGGUGACCGGCCACACUGGGACUGAGAUACGGCCCAGACUCCUACGGGAGGCAGCAGUGGGGAAUAUUGCACAAUGGGCGCAAGCCUGAUGCAGCGACGCCGCGUGAGGGAUGACGGCCUUCGGGUUGUAAACCUCUUUCAAUAGGGACGAAGCGCAAGUGACGGUACCUAUAGAAGAAGCACCGGCCAACUACGUG